rnacentral:rRNA from 1 species
CGGGUUGUAAAGCACUUUCAGUCGUGAGGAAGGUAGUGUAGUUAAUAGCUGCAUUAUUUGACGUUAGCGACAGAAGAAGCACCGGCUAACUCCGUGCCAGCAGCCGCGGUAAUACGGAGGGUGCGAGCGUUAAUCGGAAUUACUGGGCGUAAAGCGCAUGCAGGUGGUUUGUUUAAGUCAGAUGUGAAAGACCCGGGGCGUCAACCUCGGAAUAGCAUUUGAAACUGGCAGACUAGAGUACUGUAGAGGGGGGUAGGAAUUUCAGGUGUAGCGGUGAAAUGCGUAGAGAUCUGAAGGAAUACCGGUGGCGAAGGCGGCCCCCUGGACAGAUACUGACACUCAGAUGCGAAAGCGUGGGGAGCAAACAGGAUUAGAUACCCCUGGUAG